GAUGAACGCUAGCGGCAGGCUUAACACAUGCAAGUCGAGGGGUAUAGUUCUUCGGAAUUAGAGACCGGCGCACGGGUGCGUAACGCGUAUGCAAUCUACCUUUCACAGAGGGAUAGCCCAGAGAAAUUUGGAUUAAUACCUCAUAGUAUAGCAGUUUCGCAUGAAACCACUAUUAAAGUCACAACGGUGAAAGAUGAGCAUGCGUCCCAUUAGCUAGUUGGUAAGGUAACGGCUUACCAAGGCAACGAUGGGUAGGGGUCCUGAGAGGGAGAUCCCCCACACUGGUACUGAGACACGGACCAGACUCCUACGGGAGGCAGCAGUGAGGAAUAUUGGUCAAUGGACGCAAGUCUGAACCAGCCAUGCCGCGUGCAGGAUGACGGUCCUAUGGAUUGUAAACUGCUUUUGUACGAGAAGAACACUGGUUCGUGAACCAGCUUGACGGUACUGUAAGAAUAAGGAUCGGCUAACUCCGGUGCCAGCAGCCG
rnacentral:rRNA from 1 species